rnacentral:misc_RNA from 1 species
CUGAACACAGUGGAAAACCAGAUCCUGAAGAUUCAGAAGUCGUGUCUAAAGAAGUCAAUAAACAAGAAUCACUAGUUUCAGAAGUUGACGUGAAAGCGGAGGAAAAAUCUGAAGUCACUGAACACCGUGGAAAACCAGAAUCAGUUGAGGAAAUUGGGAAACAACAGGAGNNNNNNNNNNUUCUAGCUAUCAAAGAAUCAGAAGCAGUUGUCCAGGAUAUUGAAGCUUCAGAAGCAGCACCC